GCGUGUGUGCGCAGGGAGAGAACGCCGGCCACCUUCCCGCUUCCGAGCUGGGUGCGCGCCGAGCACAGGAGGGUGCAAUACCUGCCUUGCGUCGCCCGUGCCGCUCCAGCCACCGUCAAAUCCGGGUAGCGACCCGGGGCGUUUGCAGCGGUGCCGAGGAAGAGGACGGGAACGGUGUUACGAUUGCCUGCGUUUAGGAGGUGGCUGCGUUGUGGGAAAAGCUAUCAAGGAAGAAAUUGCCAAACCAUGUCUUUUUUUCUGUUUUCAGAGACUAAAAUGUUCGUUCAAAUGAAUGGCCAUUGGAUAACUCCAGACCUGAAAAUAAACACUGUUGUCAAAACAGCAUCCAGGCCGGGCGCGGUGGCUCACGCCAGUAAUUCCAGCACUUUGGGAGGCCGAGGCGGGCAGAUCACCUCAGUAGUUCACAACAGAUCUGAGUGUUUUAAUUAAGCAUGGAAUACAGAAAACAACAAAAAACUUAAGCUUUAAUUUCAUCUGGAAUUCCACAGUUUUCUUAGCUCCCUGGACCCGGUUGACCUGUUGGCUCUUCCCGCUGGCUGCUCUAUCACGUGGUGCUCUCCGACUACUCACCCCGAGUGUAAAGAACCUUCGGCUCGCGUGCUUCUGAGCUGCUGUGGAUGGCCUCGGCUCUCUGGACUGUCCUUCCGAGUAGGAUGUCACUGAGAUCCCUCAAAUGGAGCCUCCUGCUGCUGUCACUCCUGAGUUUCUUUGUGAUGUGGUACCUCAGCCUUCCCCACUACA
rnacentral:lncRNA from 10 species